rnacentral:rRNA from 1 species
UACGUAGGGUGCAAGCGUUGUCCGGAAUUAUUGGGCGUAAAGAGCGUGUAGGCGGCCCGAUUAGUCCGCUGUGAAAGUCCAGGGCUCAACCCCGGGAGGCGGGUGGAUACUGUCAAGCUCGAGUCCGGAAGAGGCGAGUGGAAUUCCUGGUGUAGCGGUGAAAUGCGCAGAUAUCAGGAGGAACACCAAUGGCGAAGGCAGCUCGCUGGGACGUGACUGACGCUGAGACGCGAAAGCGUGGGGAGCAAACAGG